CAAAGCCUUGGUCCCGGCCUUUUUAUUGAUUUUUUAGUAAAAUUACACAUGCAAGCCUCAACAGCCCAGUGAGGAUGCCCUCUAGCUCAGAAUAGAUCAAAAGGAGCAGAUAUCAAGCACGCAAACACAGCAGCUCAAAACAUCUUGCUAAACCACACCCCUACGGGACACAGCAGUGAUAAAAAUUAAGCAAUUAACGAAAGUUUGACUAAGUUAUACUAAUCUAGGGUUGGUAAAUUUCGUGCCAGCAACCGCGGUCAUACGAUUAACCCGAAUCAAUAACCUUCGGCGUAAAGAGUGUUUAGGAUAAUUACCCAAAUAAAGUUAAACUAUUACUAAGCCGUAAAAAGCCCCAGUAUAAAUAAACCCAACAACGAAAGUGACUUUAGCAUGUCCGAACACACGACAACUAGGACCCAAACUGGGAUUAGAUACCCCACUAUGCCUAGCCGUAAACAUAAAUAUUCCAAACAACAAGAAUAUUCGCCAGAGUACUACUAGCAAUAGCUAAAAACUUAAAGGACUUGGCGGUGCUUCAUAUCCACCUAGAGGAGCCUGUUCUAUAAUCGAUAAACCCCGAUAAACCUCACCACCUCUUGCUAAUGCAGCCUAUAUACCGCCAUCUUCAGCAAACCCUAAAAAGGUAGUACAGUAAGCAUAAUUAUAAACAUAAAAACGUUAGGUCAAGGUGUAGCCUAUGAGGUGGAAAGAAAUGGGCUACAUUUUCUAAUUAUAGAGAACACGAAAGCCUUAAUGAAAACGAAGUCCGAAGGAGGAUUUAGUAGUAAGUCAAAAUAGAGUGCUUGACUGAACCAGGCCAUGAAACACGCACACACCGCCCGUCACCCUCCUCAACCCUAUAACAUCAAAUUUAUAAUUAAUGUUAACAAACACCUAAACCUAGAGGAGAUAAGUCGUAACAAGGUAAGCAUACUGGAAAGUGUGCUUGGAGUAACCAA
rnacentral:ncRNA from 1 species